GAGUGAUGAUGUUUUAAACCUAUUCCAUUGCUGAAAUAAAUGAUCUGUGGAAAAAAAUAACUGAACUC